UCCCCAUUUGUAAAUCAGAUGGGAAUAAGCUCGGAAAGGAAAAGGUAUCUUUUCACGAGUUUCCAUCGUCUGGUCUUCGCGAGGACUGGAUCCGUGCGAUUUCAAGGUCUGGCCAAAGCAACAGCCUGUGGUGUCCCAGUGACCGAUCUCAAGUCUUCUCUCGGCACUUUAAGCCCGAUGACUAUAAGGAAGGGCUCAAGAUACGAAAACUCAAGACAACCGCUGUCCCCUCCGUGUUCCCGGAGUACCCUAGCUAUAAGCAACCAUGUCAAAAGAAACCGCGGAGGGCACCCAAACCGAGGUCAGAGGGAAUCCGCAAACCAACGAAGAGAAAGCGGAGCCCAUCGGCAACGCCCAAGCGACAGCCACUCCAAGAACGAGACGAAAACAGAAAUCCUGAGUGCGCAAGUCUGGACACCAGCGAUUCUUAUGCAGGCAGUGACAUGCCGAACCCUGAAAGCACAGAAAGCGUACUUCAAACCGGGCCCUCGAAAUAUCGAACUAUUUCAGUGCAAACACAUCUGACAGUGAAGAAAAUCAAGCAGUACUGCACAAAGCUUGACACUCUGGCACGAAAGUGCAGGCGGCUGCAGUCAAAAGUGAAAGAGCUACGUACCAAGCUGAAAUCAACUGAGAAGGAAAGCAAGGAACACAAAAAACUGUUGAAAAGGAGCAACGUAACAUUGCUAUUGGUAUGGUAACGACAUGCUAGAGCUGCUCAUAUA